AAGGUAGCAUAAUCACUUGCCCUUUAAUUGGGGGCUGGAAUGAAUGGAUUUACUUGUAUAACCUUUUUUACUUUUGAAAAUAAAACUUAGAUUUUAUGUGAAAAUACAUAGAUUUUAUAAAAAGACCAAAAGACCCUACAGAGCUUAAAUUUUAAUAGUUUAGAAUUAAUAAAAAUUUUUAUUGGGGCGAUAAGAAAUAUUCAUUUCUAGAAAAGGUAUUUAAACUUUAUAAAUUAUAAAUAGUUACCUUAGGGAUAACAGGCUACUCUUUUUUAAAAGUUCAAAUUAACAAAAAGACAUAGCACCUCGAUGUUGGCUUAAGAUUUAUAUUAGAUGUAGUCGUUUAAUUAAAUGGCUUGUUCCGCCAAUAAUUUCUUACGUGAUCUGA
rnacentral:rRNA from 1 species